ACACAUGCAGUCGAGGGGCAGCAUAUCCAGCUUGCUGGAUGAUGGCGACCGGCGCACGGGUGCGCAACGCGUAUGGAACCUGCCCUUUACCGGGGAAUAGCCCAGAGAAAUUUGGAUUAAUGCCCCAUGGUAUGUACUUCCGGCAUCGGAGGUGCAUUAAAGGUUACGGUAAGGGAUGGCCAUGCGUACCAUUAGCUAGUUGGCGGGGUAACGGCCCACCAAGGCGACGAUGGUUAGGGGCCCUGAGAGGGGGAUCCCCCACACUGGUACUGAGACACGGACCAGACUCCUACGGGAGGCAGCAGUGAGGAAUAUUGGACAAUGGGCGGAAGCCUGAUCCAGCCAUGCCGCGUGCAGGAAGACUGCCCUAUGGGUUGUAAACUGCUUUUAUACGGGAAGAACAACCGCCACGUGUGGCGCUCUGACGGUACCGUAAGAAUAAGGACCGGCUAACUCCGUGCCAGCAGCCGCGGUAAUACGGAGGGUCCGAGCGUUAUCCGGAAUUAUUGGGUUUAAAGGGUCCGUAGGCGGGUCGGUAAGUCAGGGGUGAAAUGGUGCGGCUCAACCGUAGCACUGCCUUUGAUACUGUCGAUCUUGAGUUAUGGUGAAGUUGCCGGAAUAUGUAGUGUAGCGGUGAAAUGCAUAGAUAUUACAUAGAACACCGAUUGCGAAGGCAGGUGACUAACCGUAUACUGACGCUGAUGGACGAAAGCGUGGGGAGCGAACAGGAU
rnacentral:rRNA from 1 species